rnacentral:tRNA from 1 species
GCCCGGGUGGUGGAACUGGUAGACACGUACGUUUGAGGGGCGUAUGGAGCAAUCCGUGCAGGUUCAAGUCCUGUCCCGGGCA